rnacentral:rRNA from 1 species
CAGGCCUAACACAUGCAAGUCGAACGGUAGCACAGAGAGCUUGCUCUCGGGUGACGAGUGGCGGACGGGUGAGUAAUGUCUGGGAAACUGCCCGAUGGAGGGGGAUAACUACUGGAAACGGUAGCUAAUACCGCAUAAUGUCGCAAGACCAAAGAGGGGGACCUUCGGGCCUCUUGCCAUCAGAUGUGCCCAGAUGGGAUUAGCUAGUAGGUGGGGUAAUGGCUCACCUAGGCGACGAUCCCUAGCUGGUCUGAGAGGAUGACCAGCCACACUGGAACUGAGACACGGUCCAGACUCCUACGGGAGGCAGCAGUGGGGAAUAUUGCACAAUGGGCGCAAGCCUGAUGCAGCCAUGCCGCGUGUGUGAAGAAGGCCUUCGGGUUGUAAAGCACUUUCAGCGAGGAGGAAGGCAUUAAGGUUAAUAACCUUAGUGAUUGACGUUACUCGCAGAAGAAGCACCGGCUAACUCCGUGCCAGCAGCCGCGGUAAU